AUGGGCAGCCCUAAACACACACACGCACGGUCCUUCUCCUGGCCUGUGUUCACACACAGCCUCCAUCACCGACAGGCACCACCUGUGGUUUUGGCUGGCCCUCACGCUGCUUUGUGCUCACACGCACACUCAGAAUGUUCCUCACACACACACUCAGAGUGUUACACACACACACUCAGAGUGCUCCUCACACACAUGGAAUGUUCCUCACACACACACACAGAGUGUUCCUCACACACACACACACACACACGUUCAGUGUGUUCCUCACACACACACAAACGCACACAGUGUUCCUCACACACACACACACACACAGUGUUACACACACACACAGUGUUACACACACACACAUUCAGAGUGUUCCUCACACACACACACACAGUGUUCCUCACACACACACACAGUGUUACACACACACACAUUCAGUGUGCUCCUCACACACACACGCAGAGUGUUCCUCGCACACACCCAACGCCACAGGCCAUCCACACCCUGGGCAGGAACAGCAGAUCCUCCCUGUGCACACCCACAGGCUGCUCACACCUGCACAUCACCCCUGCUGCUCACACUCCCCAUUCCUCUGUCUCACUUGGGUCCCCUCUGUACCUGUGUCCCCCACUUUUGCCCCUCCUCAGGUGUCACCUCCUGAGAGGUGAAAUGAUGGCUUUAGCUUUCUGUUCCCCACUGACCUGCGGGUGUCACCGGUGCUGGGCACACCAGGGCUGCACCGUGCAGGUCCAUCCCUUCUCCAGCCCUGCACAGCUCCUGCACCGCGCAGGUCCAUCCCUUCUCCAGCCCUGCACAGCUCCUGCACCGCGCAGGUCCAUCCCUUCUCCAGCCCUGCACAGCUCCUGCACCGCGCAGGUCCAUCCCUUCUCCAGCCCUGCACAGCUCCUGCACCGCGCAGGUCCAUCCCUUCUCCAGCCCUGCACAGCUCCUGCACCGCGCAGGUCCAUCCCUUCUCCAGCCCUGCACAGCUCCUGCACCGCGCAGGUCCAUCCCUUCUCCAGCCCUGCACAGCUCCUGCACCGCGCAGGUCCAUCCCUUCUCCAGCCCUGCACAGCUCCUGCACCGCGCAGGUCCAUCCCUUCUCCAGCCCUGCACAGCUCCUGCACCGCGCAGGUCCAUCCCUUCUCCAGCCCUGCACAGCUCCUGCACCGCGCAGGUCCAUCCCUUCUCCAGCCCUGCACAGCUCCUGCACCGCGCAGGUCCAUCCCUUCUCCAGCCCUGCACAGCUCCUGCACCGCGCAGGUCCAUCCCUUCUCCAGCCCUGCACAGCUCCUGCACCGCGCAGGUCCAUCCCUUCUCCAGCCCUGCACAGCUCCUGCACCGCGCAGGUCCAUCCCUUCUCCAGCCCUGCACAGCUCCUGCACCGCGCAGGUCCAUCCCUUCUCCAGCCCUGCACAGCUCCUGCACCGCGCAGGUCCAUCCCUUCUCCAGCCCUGCACAGCUCCUGCACCGCGCAGGUCCAUCCCUUCUCCAGCCCUGCACAGCUCCUGCACCGCGCAGGUCCAUCCCUUCUCCAGCCCUGCACAGCUCCUGCACCGCGCAGGUCCAUCCCUUCUCCAGCCCUGCACAGCUCCUGCACCGCGCAGGUCCAUCCCUUCUCCAGCCCUGCACAGCUCCUGCACCGCGCAGGUCCAUCCCUUCUCCAGCCCUGCACAGCUCCUGCACCGCGCAGGUCCAUCCCUUCUCCAGCCCUGCACAGCUCCUGCACCGCGCAGGUCCAUCCCUUCUCCAGCCCUGCACAGCUCCUGCACCGCGCAGGUCCAUCCCUUCUCCAGCCCUGCACAGCUCCUGCACCGCGCAGGUCCAUCCCUUCUCCAGCCCUGCACAGCUCCUGUCCAGGAGUCUCCUCAGCAGCCCUGCAGUGGUUACACAGUUGUCGAACUGCUCCAGAUCACUCUGCAAAACUUGCACAUUGCCGCUGCCACUUCCUGUCCUACACAAACUGGCUGA
rnacentral:lncRNA from 1 species